rnacentral:rRNA from 1 species
UACGAGGGGGGCGAGCGUUGUUCGGAAUUAUUGGGCGUAAAGGGUGCGUAGGCGGGUCUUUAAGUCAGGGGUGAAAUCCUGGAGCUCAACUCCAGAACUGCCUUUGAUACUGAGGAUCUUGAGUUCGGGAGAGGUGAGUGGAACUGCGAGUGUAGAGGUGAAAUUCGUAGAUAUUCGCAAGAACACCAGUGGCGAAGGCGGCUCACUGGCCCGAUACUGACGCUGAGGCACGAAAGCGUGGGGAGCAAACAGGG